rnacentral:siRNA from 1 species
UCCGCAAUCUUGGUUCAUCUGAAC